rnacentral:pre_miRNA from 1 species
GAGACACCCCUAUGGAGCAGGCCUUGCUUUAGUGGGGCUUUGGUGCUGACUGAGUCUGCCCCUUGAGUGUGUCGCU